rnacentral:rRNA from 1 species
UACGUAGGUGGCAAGCGUUGUCCGGAAUCAUUGGGCGUAAAGAGCUUGUAGGCGGCUCGGUAAGUCCGCUGUGAAAGUCCAGGGCUCAAUCCUGGAAUGCCGGUGGAAACUGUCGAGCUAGAGUCCGGAAGAGGCGAGUGGAAUUCCUGGUGUAGCGGUGAAAUGCGCAGAUAUCAGGAGGAACACCAAUGGCGAAGGCAGCUCGCUGGGACGGUACUGACGCUGAGACGCGAAAGCGUGGGGAGCAAACAGG